rnacentral:rRNA from 1 species
ACAUGCAAGUCGAACGGCAGCAUGAUCUAGCUUGCUAGAUUGAUGGCGAGUGGCGAACGGGUGAGUAAUACAUCGGAACGUGCCCUGUAGUGGGGGAUAACUAGUCGAAAGAUUAGCUAAUACCGCAUACGACCUGAGGGUGAAAGUGGGGGACCGCAAGGCCUCAUGCUAUAGGAGCGGCCGAUGUCUGAUUAGCUAGUUGGUGAGGUAAAGGCUCACCAAGGCGACGAUCAGUAGCUGGUCUGAGAGGACGAUCAGCCACACUGGGACUGAGACACGGCCCAGACUCCUACGGGAGGCAGCAGUGGGGAAUUUUGGACAAUGGGCGAAAGCCUGAUCCAGCAAUGCCGCGUGUGUGAAGAAGGCCUUCGGGUUGUAAAGCACUUUUGUCCGGAAAGAAAUGGCUCUGGUUAAUACCUGGGGUCGAUGACGGUACCGGAAGAAUAAGGACCGGCUAACUACGUGCCAGCAGCCGCGGUAAUACGUAGGGUCCAAGCGUUAAUCGGAAUUACUGGGCGUAAAGCGUGCGCAGGCGGUUGUGCAAGACCGAUGUGAAAUCCCCGAGCUUAACUUGGGAAUUGCAUUGGUGACUGCACGGCUAGAGUGUGUCAGAGGGGGGUAGAAUUCCACGUGUAGCAGUGAAAUGCGUAGAGAUGUGGAGGAAUACCGAUGGCGAAGGCAGCCCCCUGGGAUAACACUGACGCUCAUGCACGAAAGCGUGGGGAGCAAACAGGAUUAGAUACCCUGGUAGUCCACGCCCUAAACGAUGUCAACUAGUUGUUGGGGAUUCAUUUCCUUAGUAACGUAGCUAACGCGUGAAGUUGACCGCCUGGGGAGUACGGUCGCAAGAUUAAAACUCAAAGGAAUUGACGGGGACCCGCACAAGCGGUGGAUGAUGUGGAUUAAUUCGAUGCAACGCGAAAAACCUUACCUACCCUUGACAUGCCACUAACGAAGCAGAGA